rnacentral:lncRNA from 1 species
GUCCUGUUCCUGCGCUUCCCAAGCUGGGUAGAAACGGCGAGAGGCUGGGGGUUAGAAACGACAGGUUCCCGGCGGGCUGUGCCGGGGCUUCGCUGUGUGACCUUGGGCUGGCGUCUGGGCUCUCUGGGCCCUUGUUUCCGCGAGUUAAACGUAGGGGCGGGGGAGUUUCUCUGGCCCUGCCGCCUGUGACCUAAGGAGCCCCGUGACCUCUCCGACCCGAGCCCACCCCCGGCCCAGUCUGCGAGCAGCUCCGGGACAAGCACUCCCGGCGAAGACAUGUAGGCUCUCAGAGCCUGCGUUUCCCUCUGUAGAGCAGGCCUAGUUACUGUCUUCAGGGUGCACGCGUCUCCGUCCCCGACCCGCACCCUCACCGCCGGGGUAAGCUGAGCCAGGCCCAAGCGACAGCUGGGGUUGUCCGUGGGGCUGCAACCCAGGAGGAGGCCCCAACAAUAGAGCCCCAGAGGACGGAGACAAUGGGCCUCUCUGUCGGCCCAGCCGUCCCCGCCAUCCAAACAGAAGCAGCUGACGGAGGACUGCCGGGCUGGGAUCCCUGGGCUCCGCGGGGGCGGCUGUGUGCCAGGGCGGGGCACAAGGGAAGCGCACAGACGUUUGAAGAGGGGCCCCCGUGUGCCUGCCAUGAUUGCAUGAUGGCAUCUGAGCCUCACAACCUAAUCCUGAGAAAGGUGCCAUAAUCACCCCAACUUUAUCUUGAGGGAACUGAGGUUCGGGCCUGGAUUAAACCCAAACUCGGCCACCCGCCAGCAUAGUGGCUUUGGGCAGGUUGCUUCAGCCUUCUGGUCCUUCAUGUCUGCAUCUGAAAAUGAAGUACUGGGCCGGGUGCGGUGGCUCACGCCUGUAAUCCCAGCACUUUGGGAGGCCGAGGCGGGUGAAUCACCUGAGGUCAGGAGUUCGAGACCAUCCUGACCAACAUGGUGAAACCCCGUCUCUACUAAAAAUACAAAAAAUUAGCUGGGCGUGAUGAAGGGCGCCUGUAAUCCCAGCUACUCGGGAGGCUGGGGCAGGAGAAUCGCUUGAACCGGGGAGGGGAGGUUGCGGUGAGGCCGCGCCAUUGCAAUCCAGCCUGGGCGACAAGAGUGAGACUCCAUCUCAAAAAAAAAAAAAAGGAAGAAAAUGAAGUUCUGGUUGCACUUCAUUCUCUGGAUUUCAUGGGCAAGUCCAGGGAAUCAAGAGACAAUAAUGUUGAUUAUUAUUCAGAGACCAUCUGUCAUGUGCUAAGUUGAAGUCCAAAUGCUUUUUGCUUGUCGAACUCUUCUGACAGUCCUAGGAGGCAAACUAUUGUCAUCCCCAUUUUAUAGAUAAAGAAAUUGAGGCACAGAAUGGUGAAGUAACUCACUCAAAGGUCAGGGAUGUGGGCAGAUGUAAACCACAGAAGGAAUAAGUACUAUUUUAUAAAGUGACAGAGUGCAUGCAGUGGCCCUGUGGCAUUUGUGAGAGACCGACUUCCCCUCAGGGAACUUGCUCUGUAGUUUGGGAAGCCACACAGAUGAUCCUCUGGUUGGGAGAAUGAGGAUCUGGGCAGCCUGGACCUGAAGCUGAGGCCAAAGAGAGUGGGAUUGGUCUGAAUAAGUGGGUUUUUAAAUUUUUUUAAUUUUUAAAUUAUUUUUUAAGAGACACAGCCUCACUAUAUUGCUAAGGCUGGUGUCUAACUCCUGGGCUCAAGCGAUCCUCCCACCUUGGCCUUCCAAAGUGUUGGGAUUACAGGCAUGAGUCACAAUGCCUGGCCAAGGGUUUUUAAAAUUGUGUCCUGGUAGCUAAAGAGUUAAGUGGUCUGCGGAGGCCCUGGAGCUUGUGAACACCUUCAAACCACCAUGAAAGCCUGGGCCAACCGGCCGCAUUAUCACGUGGGGAAGAAAUAAGUGUUAUGCACGCUGCUGUGUUUGGGGGCCUCUUUGUUGCAGUAUCCUAGUGUGUCUGCUCACUAAGACACAGCACUGGGGACACAGCUGCACAGAGCAGAUGAGUUCAGAAAGCCUUUGUCAAGCUAAUAGUUUAGUGGGAGAGACAAGCCUUAACCUAGGAAGGAAAAUUGUGAUUACAAAAUGUGGUAACUGCUGUGAAAGGCAUAGGCUGAGACUGUGAGAGAGAGAAUAAUGGGGUCCCUGAUUUGGACAGUGGUCAGGGAAGGCCCCUUUGAAGAAAUACAUUUUUUCACUUUUUAACCAUAUGUAUUUUAUUUUUAAAUGGCAUUUAAUGAAACAAGACACUGACUUAUUGAACAUUGUAUACUUAACUGUUUUUCCCCUUUCAUGCAAUAUUGAAAUAUAUUUCAACUUAAAACAAAUAAGAAAGUCCCAAAUAUAACACUUCUUUUGAAAAAUACAGGCACGGCUGGGCGCGGUGGCUCACGCCUGUAAUCCCAGCACUUUGGGAGGCCAAGAUGGGCGGAUCACCUGAGGUCAGGAGGUCAAGACCAGCCUGGCCAACAUGGCGAAAUCCCAUCUCUACUAAAAAGUACAAAAAUUAGCCAGGUGUGGUGGCAGGUGCCUGUAAUCCCAGCUACUCAGGAGGCCAAGGCAGGAGGAGCUUGAAUCCAGGGGCGGAAGUUGCAGUGAGCUGAGAUCACGCUACUGCGCUCCAGCCUGGGCAACAAGAGCAAGACUGUCACACAAAAAAAGAAAAAUACAGGCACGCAAAGGAUAUUACAGAAAUGCACCAAACAUGAAUUAUUGGCACAGAUACAAUAUUUCAAAACACUAACUAAUAUUAGAUUGAGACAUCCUAUUACAACAUUAAAACCAUGCCCCUUUCAAUUCAAGUGAGCACCUCUAUUUCCAUUCCAAGACCCUGUGAUUUCAUACACAUUUAACACAACGGUAACAAUAACAGUAAUGCUAGCUAGUAUUUGUUAUGCCCUUAAUGAGUGCCAAGCUCAGCUAAAUAUGUAAAACAUGUUUUGUUUGUUUUAUUGGUGAAGAGAUGAGUUCUUAAACAACCAGAAGAUACUGCAGGUUCAAAGUCCCGGAGGCCAGAAGGAGCUUGCAUUCAAAUAAGAAAAUAUAUUUUCUCAAGGAAAUAUAAGUUGUAUUUCUAUGUAACUCUAUGCACCAGGAGGGCCCCAGCAAGAAAGAGAGGUCUCACUCCACAGGGAUUUCUGAAAAAAGUUUAAUGAACAGGCCAUUUACCUGAGAUGUGGGUGAGGUUGAGGGGACCAACAGGAGAUGGUGCAGCACCUGGGGUUGGCAACAGAGGGGAGGGAGCUCUCACCCCUAAACCUGAAGGGUCCAGGAGAGGGAGUGGUUUCCUGGAACCAGUGAGAAUAGCUAGUUAUGGGCCACGGGGAAGCCUGAGAGGAGGUUUGAGGCCACACAGUCACUGCCAAAACUAGGGGUACAUGGGGAAAAUACCCCAAAUUAGCUCUUCUCCCAGCCUCUGAUGCCCUGCUGGCACUUCCCAUUGGCUGGAUCGAACUGGAACCCCAAGAUCAAGGAAUCCUCUGUGAUGGCAUCCAUGAGGGUCCACUUCGUCGGGGAGCACCGAGCAG